rnacentral:sRNA from 1 species
GCAGAAGCAGUGAUGAGAGGCCAGUGGCACAGAGACAGUUUAUAUUUAUUUAUUUAUUUAUUUAUAUCAACAGCAGUAGCAACUGCAGAAACUGAUGGCAGAAUUUUGUUGAGAUGCUGACCAGAGCUUCUUCUGAUUUGUUAUCUGAUUUGCCUACAGGGAAGAAUGAAAAGAAAGCCCCUGCCCCUCCAAUGGAGCCUGAAGUCCCCGAGAUGUCUCAAAGCAAAACUGAACAUAUGAAAACUCCAGAAGAGGAGCUGCAGCCAGAAAGCUCUCCUGCUGAAACUUCAGCCUGCAAAGAUCCUCUGAAACUUUUAAAGAUCAGGCCAGUCUCCCAGCCCUUCGUGAAUCCAGCUGUGAAGAACAAGGCUGAGGAAUGUGAGACAUGGAUAGACAGGUUCAGGAAGCUGGAAAAUGCCCUCUACCUGUGUGAUCUGAGUAACACAGGAGUUCUGGAGAAGGAACGAGCCAGACGCCUCAU